rnacentral:rRNA from 1 species
AGCCAUGCGAGUCGAAUGUAGCAAUACAUGGCGUACUGCUCAGUAACACGUGGAUAACCUACCCUUGAGAUGGGGAUAAACCCGGGAAACUGGGUAUAAUACCCAAUAGAUCUCGACUGCUGGAAUGCAUCGAGAUCCAAAGCUCCGGCGCUCAAGGAUGGAUCUGCGGCCUAUCAGGUAGUAGUGGGUGUAGCGUACCUACUAGCCUACGACGGGUACGGGUUGUGAGAGCAAGAGCCCGGAGAUGGAUUCUGAGACACGAAUCCAGGCCCUACGGGGUGCAGCAGGCGCGAAAACUUUACAAUGCUGGAAACAGCGAUAAGGGGACCUCGAGUGCCAGGUUACAAAUCUGGCUGUCGUGAUGCCUAAAAAGCAUUGCAUAGCAAGGGCCGGGCAAGACCGGUGCCAGCCGCCGCGGUAACACCGGCGGCUCGAGUGGUAACCGUUAUUAUUGGGUCUAAAGGGUCUGUAGCCGGCCGGAUAAGUCUCUUGGGAAAUCUGGCAGCUUAACUGUCAGGCUUUCAGGAGAUACUGUCUGGCUCGAGGCCGGGAGAGGUGAGAGGUACUUCAGGGGUAGGGGUGAAAUCUUGUAAUCCUUGAAGGACCACCAGUGGCGAAGGCGUCUCACCAGAACGGACCUGACGGCAAGGGACGAAAGCUAGGGGCACGAACCGGAUUAGAUACCCGGGUAGUCCUAGCCGUAAACGAUACUCGCUAGGUGUCGGCAACGGUGCGACCGUUGUCGGUGCCGUAGGGAAGCCGUGGAGCGAGCCACCUGGGAAGUACGGCCGCAAGGCUGAAACUUAAAGGAAUUGGCGGGGGAGCA